rnacentral:rRNA from 1 species
UCGGGAAUUUUGGGCAAUGGGCGAAAGCCUGACCCAGCAACGCCGCGUGAAGGAUGAAGUAUUUCGGUAUGUAAACUUCGAAAGAAUAGGAAGAAUAAAUGACGGUACUAUUUAUAAGGUCCGGCUAACUACGUGCCAGCAGCCGCGGUAAUACGUAGGGACCAAGCGUUGUUCGGAUUUACUGGGCGUAAAGGGCGCGUAGGCGGCUUGACAAGUCACUUGUGAAAUCUCUGGGCUUAACCCAGAACGGCCAAGUGAAACUGUCAUGCUAGAGUGCAGAAGGGGCGAUCGGAAUUCUUGGUGUAGCGGUGAAAUGCGUAGAUAUCAAGAGGAACACCUGAGGUGAAGACGGGUUGCUGGGCUGACACUGACGCUGAGGCGCGAAAGCCAGGGGAGCAAACGGGAUUAGAUACCCGCGUAGUCCCUGAGCGGGCUGGCAAGGCGCAU